rnacentral:rRNA from 1 species
GACGAACGCUGGCGGCGUGCUUAACACAUGCAAGUCGAACGGAAAGGCCCUGCUUUUGUGGGGUGCUCGAGUGGCGAACGGGUGAGUAACACGUGAGUAACCUGCCCUUGACUUUGGGAUAACUUCGGGAAACUGGGGCUAAUACCGGAUAGGAGCUCCUGCUGCAUGGUGGGGGUUGGAAAGUUUCGGCGGUUGGGGAUGGACUCGCGGCUUAUCAGCUUGUUGGUGGGGUAGUGGCUUACCAAGGCUUUGACGGGUAGCCGGCCUGAGAGGGUGACCGGCCACAUUGGGACUGAGAUACGGCCCAGACUCCUACGGGAGGCAGCAGUGGGGAAUAUUGCACAAUGGGCGGAAGCCUGAUGCAGCAACGCCGCGUGCGGGAUGACGGCCUUCGGGUUGUAAACCGCUUUCGCCUGUGACGAAGCGUGAGUGACGGUAAUGGGUAAAGAAGCACCGGCUAACUACGUGCCAGCAGCCGCGGUGAUACGUAGGGUGCGAGCGUUGUCCGGAUUUAUUGGGCGUAAAGGGCUCGUAGGUGGUUGAUCGCGUCGGAAGUGUAAUCUUGGGGCUUAACCCUGAGCGUGCUUUCGAUACGGGUUGACUUGAGGAAGGUAGGGGAGAAUGGAAUUCCUGGUGGAGCGGUGGAAUGCGCAGAUAUCAGGAGGAACACCAGUGGCGAAGGCGGUUCUCUGGGCCUUUCCUGACGCUGAGGAGCGAAAGCGUGGGGAGCGAACAGGCUUAGAUACCCUGGUAGUCCACGCUGUAAACGGUGGGUACUAGGUGUGGGGUCCAUUCCACGGGUUCCGUGCCGUAGCUAACGCUUUAAGUACCCCGCCUGGGGAGUACGGCCGCAAGGCUAAAACUCAAAGGAAUUGACGGGGCCCCGCACAAGCGGCGGAGCAUGCGGAUUAAUUCGAUGCAACGCGUUGAACCUUACCUGGGUUUGACAUGGAUCGGGAGCGCUCAGAGAUGGGUGUGCCUCUUUUGGGGUCGGUUCACAGGUGGUGCAUGGCUGUCGUCAGCUCGUGUCGUGAGAUGUUGGGUUAAGUCCCGCAACGAGCGCAACCCUUGUUCACUGUUGCCAGCACGUUAUGGUGGGGACUCAGUGGAGACCGCCGGGGUCAACUCGGAGGAAGGUGGGGAUGACGUCAAGUCAUCAUGCCCCUUAUGUCCAGGGCUUCACGCAUGCUACAAUGGCUGGUACAGAGAGUGGCGAGCCUGUGAGGGUGAGCGAAUCUCGGAAAGCCGGUCUCAGUUCGGAUUGGGGUCUGCAACUCGACCUCAUGAAGUCGGAGUCGCUAGUAAUCGCAGAUCAGCAACGCUGCGGUGAAUACGUUCCCGGG